rnacentral:RNase_P_RNA from 1 species
CCAGUUGACCGGGUGGCCGCUCUGCACGAGGUGACUUGUGCGGGGAGGAAAGUCCGGGCUCCAUCGAAAUACGGUGCCGGCUAACGGCCGGCGGGGGCGACCCCAGGGAAAGUGCCACAGAGAGCAGACCGCCCGUCUUCGGAUGGGUAAGGGUGAAAGGGUGCGGUAAGAGCGCACCGCGGACCUGGCAACAGGGACGGCACGGCAAACCCCACCGGGAGCAAGACCAAAUAGGGAUGACGCGGCGCAAGCCGGCCGGUUUUCGAGGCCAGUCAUCCGGGUUGGUUGCUCAAGGCUCCUGGCAACAGGUGUCUCAGAGGAAUGGCCACCACGUGCGGCGAGCGAUCGUCGUGCCCUACAGAACCCGGCUUACAGGUCAACUGGCGAC